CCGAGGAAAGCCAUCGCCACCUGAAGCCCAAGAAAGCUUGAGCACCACGGCAAGGAAGACGAUGGCGCACUCCAAGCCUUCCAAAUUGGUUCUAGCCAAAACCAUGCACUCUAAUACAUACCGUACUUGAUACCAAAGUGAGAAUAUGAGUAAUUUAUAGAACCCGAGUGAGAAGCGUUCUCUCCUGCAAGCCAGCUUCUACGGAGCCGUCACCCCUGUUCAGUCUCUUUUCCAAGGGAGAGAAAAAAAAAAUGCCCCCGAAACUGUGCUUCUCGAAACCGAACAAAGGGGCCAUCUCUGAAGAUUAGCAAGCCGCUCUGGAUUUGCACCGAGCUCCACCUGCUCUGUGAAAACCCCAUGGUUUUCUCACAAUCCCACUCAAGCUGCUUAGCAAUUGGGCCCUGUCUUGCGAGGCCCAAGAUGGGCUUUCCUCCCAUGAUGGGGGAACGGGGCCUGGACAAAGAUGGCGCCAGCUGGCCCUGUCACAGGAAGUGACCCCAGAGGGAAGAGGAUGGCUUCUCUGAACACCCAUCUUUAAACCCCAAGGGAAGAUUUCUGACCUGACCUGGAUGGUGUGCUUGUCCCCAAGCCACGGAGUAGCUUCCUUACAGCCACUGAGACAGCCUGGAAGAAGGAAAGAAUGCUGGCUUUGGAAUGGGCUAACCCUGGGUUCAAAUCCCAGUGCUUUCACUUCCCAGCUUCUCGACCUUGACUGCUUCUCAUUUUCUCUGGGCCUCUGUUUCCUCCUCAAGAAAAUGAAGAUAUAAUACUGACUUCCUAGGGCUCUAGGAAGAAUGAAAAGACAGCUUGCAAAGGGUGCCUGGCCCAGAGCCCAGCCCCACGUGUGCACCCUAAAUGCCCUAGUUCCCCCUCCUUCCCUGGCUUGACCAGCCCCCUUUCCUACCGGGGCUUCCCCCACCCCUCCCAUCCCCGGGUUCAGCGGCCCCCACCUCCUACCUCGCUCCCAUCUGCUUCCUGGCCAGCUGGCCCCUCACCUGCAGCCCUUCUCUCCCGGGACCUGCCCACAAAUUCCCCUCUCCCCUGUGCCGGCCCUUUGACAAAUGUUCUCUCCUCUGAAGCAGCACACACUGCAAACGCAGACAAGCUGUGAAAUGGGCGUUUCAGGCCCCUGAAGCCCUUGUUUCAUUCAGUUCCUGCUGCUGUUCAUUUGUUCACUCACUUCUUCCUGCGUUUGCAGAACCCCUCACUCAACACACAUGCAGGGUGGGCCGGGCCUGGCGCAGACACAAAGCACCGUGGAACUCCUUCCACCUCCUGCAAUUUGCGGAUUGCAUUGGGCCACGACAUUCUCUCUGCUUCUGGGUUCUCCUGAUAGGCAGCCUCUGCAGGUAAAGUGAGGAGAAGCUUGAGUUAGGUGCCCCAGGAGGCGGAAGGUGUCGCCUUAGAAAACCCAUCACCCCAUCCUACCUCUCAGGCACAUUUCAUAUCUCAUCAGCCACAUUGUCACCAACCCCUCUCCUGCCACGUCCCUCCCAUUCCCACUCCUGGCUCUUCAUCUGGUUAGCCAAGAAGGAAGGGCCAGCCUGUUUUUACUUAGGGCCAUCUUUCAGGAGCAAGAAUGCAAAAACCUGUGUGGUUUUCUGGGACUGGCCUUGCACAAAGUGGAGAGGAUCUACCAUACUCUGCCCCACUGGGGGUUUGGCUUGCUCUUUUGGGCAGUGGGGAGGCCUCUACUUUCCCCCUUCAGGCUUCCAGGAGCCUCAUGGUACUCAGGGAACAUGUGUGCAAGUAAAUGCAUCCUGAUGGGAUUUGCACAAGUCGGGAGCCUUCUCUAUUAAGGGAUGUUCUCAAAGACUUGCAGCAGAGGUUCUGAGACACUGAUUCAACCCACCAUCUCAGACAUGCUGUCAUGAGGACGGGGAAGAUGGUGUGAACUCCGGGAAGGCAGAAACUUCAGGAAGAACAGUCAUUACAUGAAUUGAUGCAUUCAUUUAUUCCAUAAGCAUUGUUCAAGGGCCUGUGGGGCUUACCAUGAAGAACAAGAAACUGUCUCUGUCCUGCAGGACCUCAGAGAGUCUAGAGAGAAGGAGGCAAGUACAUAUGUCCAUGUGUCUUGUUUAAGACUAUCCUUAGAGCACUGAUGUGCACCUGUCAUCUCAUGUCGAGCACACUCUGGGUCACUCGAUGUAUAAAUUCCUGCUAAUCUCUCGACAGUGUUUUGAGGAAGGUAUAAACACCCAUUUCACAGAGGAGGAAAAGGAAGUGCAGAGAGUAACUUAACCAGGAACCAGGCUUUCCAACCCAGUUCUGCUGACCCCAACUAUUAAAGCUGCUUAUCCAAAUUUAAAUUAAAGAAAAAGAAACAGAUGAAAGGGAAUUUGGCACAUUAGAGAAGUAUUCUUCCUUUUGCAAAAGAAUUCAGUUCUUGUAAUCCUUUAAAUUCUGAGUGACUCUAGAACCCUUUCAACAGACUUUUCACUCACCUGACUUUCCUCCACAAUUUCAGGAAC